UUCUACUGAACAUUUCUCAUUGUGUACCCUAGGACAUUGGACGCAAUGUUCGAUGACUGUGCACACCAGACUCUCUGUAUUUGUUCCGUAUGUGGGAUUCGAAUAUAUUUCCGUGAAUAUAUCAAUGCAUAUAUGAAUAUCUGCCAGCAAUGUGUUGAGCCAUUACGCAAAAGGCUGCGAGGAAGUGAGCAGCAGGUUUGUGUAGCCCAAAGCAGGAUAGAAUAACUGUCACUGGUGUGGUUAUAGAUUCAUUUCUGAACCAGCUUCUUCUCAAUGGAUUUACUUGUUUGGUCUCCAAGGAUGAAUUGAUUUCAUGUCACAAUCAGCAAGUGUGUAGCCAUGGUGACCAACAACGCCAUUAUUUACUUGAUUGUGAUGUUUGUAUGGAGCCCGCAAGUGUCCAGCCAAGACGCCAACUGUCCCCAGGACUGUACCUUAGUGAAUAUAGCACGAGAAGCAAUUAGCAAUCUGACAACUAGGUACAACAUAUAUUA